rnacentral:rRNA from 1 species
AGGGGAACAACAGCUGGAAACGGCUGCUAAUACCCCAUAGGCUGAGGAGCAAAAGGAGGAAUCCGCCCAAGGAGGGGCUCGCGUCUGAUUAGUUAGUUGGUGAGGCAAUGGCUUACCAAGGCGACGAUCAGUAGCUGGUCCGAGAGGAUGAUCAGCCACACUGGGACUGAGACACGGCCCAGACUCCUACGGGAGGCAGCAGUGGGGAAUUUUCCGCAAUGGGCGAAAGCCUGACGGAGCAAUGCCGCGUGAAGGCAGAAGGCCCACGGGUCAUGAACUUCUUUUCUCGGAGAAGAAAAAAUGACGGUAUCUGAGGAAUAAGCAUCGGCUAACUCUGUGCCAGCAGCCGCGGU